CUCCGUGGUGCCUGGGACCGGGAGCGCGGGGAUCCUCUGUGUGCCUCGGGAGAGGAGAGUCCGGGUGGCCUUAAGUGGCCUGGGGGGAGGUUCUCAGCAGCAGGUGGCAGAGUCUCAAAAGGCCUCUCAGCACAGCACAGGCGGGCCCCAGAUGUCCGGAGCCCUGAAUGUGAGGGGGCGCAGACGCGGGGCUCCCAGAGCAGCGAAGCCUCCUCGUGGCACCUCUGGGCGAGGCCCGUUGGCUGGAGAGCGAUGGGUUUGCCCCGACCGCCUUUGUGGCAAAACUGCGGCUGUGAAAACGAUGGGCUUUGGGAGUGAGGGCUCCGCGUCGGCUGCCCGAGGGUGGGCACCUGCCGGGAGCGGUGGGCCUGCUUACCCGGCACAUCUGAGCUCCGGGGCUGCGAAAAUGAAGGCUGCGGCAGAGAGCAGGAGCAGAAGAGGGCCAAGCGCAGCAGCUAGAAAUAAGGUUUUCUAAGUUCCUGCCCUGAGUGCGACCAUCCAGUAUUUUUCUCUUUUUUUCUGACUUAUUUUGCUGAGCAUGAUCCCUUCUAGCUUCAUCCAUGUUGCUGCAAACUGCAUGUGUUUAUCUUUUUUGAUUGCUGAGUAAUAUUCCAUUGUGUAUAUGUACCACAUCUUCUUGAUCCAGUCAUCUGUUUUUAGACAUUUGGGUUGUUUCCUGAUCUUAGCUAUUGUAAAUAAUGCUGCUAUAAAAAUGGGUGUGCUAUAAAAAUGGG